CCUACGGGAGGCAGCAGUAGGGAAUUUUCCACAAUGGGCGAAAGCCUGAUGGAGCAAUACCGCGUGCAGGAUGAAGGCCUUCGGGUCGUAAACUGCUUUUAUGUGCGAAGAAUUUGACGGUAACACAUGAAUAAGGAUCGGCUAACUACGUGCCAGCAGCCGCGGUCAUACGUAGGAUCCAAGCGUUAUCCGGAAUUACUGGGCGUAAAGAGUUGCGUAGGUGGCAUUAUAAGUGGAGCGUGAAAGCGUGCGGCUCAACCGCAUUAUUGCGUUCCAAACUGUGAAGCUUGAGUAUGGGAGAGGUAGAUGGAAUUUCUAGUGUAGGAGUGAAAUCCGUAGAUAUUAGAAGGAACACCGAUGGCGUAGGCAGUCUACUGGCCCAUUACUGACACUAAGGCACGAAAGCGUGGGGAGCAAACGGGAUUAGAUACCCCGGUAGUCCACGCUGUAAACUAUGGAUGCUAGCUAGUGACACACAUCGACCUGUGUCGUAGCGAAGUUAACGCGUUAAAGCAUCCGCCUGGGGAGUACGGUCGCGAAGGUUAAAACUCAAAUGAAUUGACG
rnacentral:rRNA from 1 species